rnacentral:rRNA from 1 species
GACGAACGCUGGCGGCGUGCCUAAUACAUGCAAGUAGAACGCUGAAGGAGGAGCUUGCUUCUCUGGAUGAGUUGCGAACGGGUGAGUAACGCGUAGGUAACCUGCCUGGUAGCGGGGGAUAACUAUUGGAAACGAUAGCUAAUACCGCAUAAGAGUAGAUGUCGCAUGACAUUUGCUUAAAAGGUGCAAUUGCAUCACUACCAGAUGGACCUGCGUUGUAUUAGCUAGUUGGUGAGGUAACGGCUCACCAAGGCAACGAUACAUAGCCGACCUGAGAGGGUGAUCGGCCACACCGGGACUGAGACACGGCCCAGACUCCUACGGGAGGCAGCAGUAGGGAAUCUUCGGCAAUGGACGGAAGUCUGACCGAGCAACGCCGCGUGAGUGAAGAAGGUUUUCGGAUCGUAAAGCUCUGUUGUAAGAGAAGAACGAGUGUGAGAGUGGAAAGUUCACACUGUGACGGUAUCUGACCAGAAAGGGACGGCUAACUAC